rnacentral:rRNA from 1 species
AUUGAACGCUGGCGGCAGGCCUAACACAUGCAAGUCGAACGAGUGGCGGACGGGUGAGUAAUGUCUGGGAAACUGCCUGAUGGAGGGGGAUAACUACUGGAAACGGUAGCUAAUACCGCAACACCUCGGAUGUUCCCAGCUGGGAUUAGCUAGUAGGGGGGGGAAAGGCUAACCUAGGCGACGAUCCCUAGCUGGUCUGAGAGGAGGACCAGCCACACUGGAACUGAGACACGGUCCAGACCCCUACGGGAGGCAGCAGUGGGGAAUAUUGCACAAUGGGCGCAAGCCUGAUGCAGCCAUGCCGCGUGUAGGAAGAAGGCCGUCGUGUUGUAAAGUACUUUCAGCGUGGAGGCGCUACCCGCAGAAGAAGCACCGGCUAACUCCGUGCCAGCAGCCGCGGUAAUUC